CCUACGGGAGGCAGCAGUGGGGGAUAUUGCACAAUGGGGGAAACCCUGAUGCAGCGACGCCGCGUGAGUGAAGAAGUAUCUCGGUAUGUAAAGCUCUAUCAGUAGGGAAGUAAAUGACAGUACCUGACCAAGAAGCCCCGGCUAACUAGGUGCCAGCAGCCGCGGGAAUACGUAGGGGGCAAGCGUUAUCCGGAUUUACUGGGUGUAAAGGGAGCGUAGACGGUUAUGUAAGUCAGGAGUGAAAGUCCGGUGCCCAACCCCGGGACUGCUUUGGAAACUGUGUAGCUGGAGUGCAGGAGGGGCAGGCGGAAUGCCUGGUGUAGCGGUGAAAUGCGUAGAGAUCAGGAAGAACACCGACGGCGAAGGCAGCCUGCUAAACUGAAACUGACGUUGAGGCUCGAAAGCGUGGGGAGCAAACAGGAUUAGAUACCCCUGUAGUC
rnacentral:rRNA from 1 species